rnacentral:lncRNA from 11 species
CAGGAAGGCCCCCAGAAAGUGCACGAGACAGAAAAGAACACAGCAUAGUACUGAUCUUCCCUCCUCCAUGAGCAAAAUAGCCAGCCACAGAUCCCAGGAGAUAACAGUACAGGUGCCCUUACAAUCUGGGGAGCUCUGGGACUUGCAGCCACAACAACAAAAGACAGCACAGCCUUCCCCAGCAUUGUCAUCUUUCCCAAUGAGUCAUAUCUUCUCAAGUUAUGCCCAAAGCAGAGGCUAAACCUGAAUCUGCUGUAAUCCUACAGACCAGCUUAGGCUUCCUUAUUUCCACUGCAACCACUUUUUGAAAACAAAACUGAAAACAUUUUUCAAGAAUUGUCCUUGUGCCCUGAUAUAUGAGGUAUUUGUGCAAAACCAGCAUUUAUGUUUGUUUGAGCAAAGCUUAAAAUCCAAUGUGGGGAAGAGGCAUGUGUACAUGUAGAAGUCAGACUUGUGUAAAGAUUAGCUCUGGAUGGUUGGAAAAUAUGUGACAAAAGCGCUUGUCAUAUAUUGAAUACUGUGAAAAAUAAGUCUUGAUUCUGACUUUCCAUGACUCAUAGUAAUGGAAGAAAAAGAUCUCAAAAUAUUCCUGGUUCACAAGAGAACUGAAUCCACAAAUACAUCAGCAGAG